rnacentral:rRNA from 1 species
AGUAAUGCUUGGGAAUCUAGCUUAUGGAGGGGAUAACUACGGGAAACUGUAGCUAAUACCGCGUAGAAUCGAGAGAUGAAAGUGUGGGACCUUCGGGCCACAUGCCAUAGGAUGAGCCCAAGUGGGAUUAGGUAGUCGGUGAGGUAAAGGCUCACCAAGCCGACGAUCUCUAGCUGGUCUGAGAGGAUGACCAGCCACACUGGGACUGAGACACGGCCCAG